GAUGAACGCUAGCUACAGGCUUAACACAUGCAAGUCGAGGGGAAACGGCAUUGAGUGCUUGCACUCUUUGGACGUCGACCGGCGCACGGGUGAGUAACGCGUAUCCAACCUUCCCAUUACUGUGGGAUAACCUGCCGAAAGGCAGACUAAUACCGCAUAGUCUUCGAUGACGGCAUCAGAUUUGAAGUAAAGAUUUAUCGGUAAUGGAUGGGGAUGCGUCUGAUUAGCUUAUUGGCGGGGUAACGGCCCACCAAGGCAACGAUCAGUAGGGGUUCUGAGAGGAAGGUCCCCCACAUUGGAACUGAGACACGGUCCAAACUCCUACGGGAGGCAGCAGUGAGGAAUAUUGGUCAAUGGACGGGAGUCUGAACCAGCCAAGUAGCGUGUAGGAUGACGGCCCUAUGGGUUGUAAACUGCUUUUGUAUGGGGAUAAAGUUAGGGACGUGUCCCUAUUUGCAGGUACCAUACGAAUAAGGACCGGCUAAUUCCGUGCCAGCAGCCGCGGUAAUACGGAAGGUCCAGGCGUUAUCCGGAUUUAUUGGGUUUAAAGGGAGCGUAGGCUGGAGAUUAAGUGUGUUGUGAAAUGUAGACGCUCAACGUCUGAAUUGCAGCGCAUACUGGUUUCCUUGAGUACGCACAACGUUGGCGGAAUUCGUCGUGUAGCGGUGAAAUGCUUAGAUAUGACGAAGAACUCCGAUUGCGAAGGCAGCUGACGGGAGCGCAACUGACGCUUAAGCUCGAAGGUGCGGGUAUCAAACAGG
rnacentral:rRNA from 1 species